rnacentral:rRNA from 1 species
AGUGAACGCUGGCGGUAGGCCUAACACAUGCAAGUCGAACGGCAGCACAGGAGAGCUUGCUCUCUGGGUGGCGAGUGGCGGACGGGUGAGGAAUACAUCGGAAUCUACUUUUUCGUGGGGGAUAACGUAGGGAAACUUACGCUAAUACCGCAUACGACCUACGGGUGAAAGCAGGGGAUCUUCGGACCUUGCGCGAUUGAUGAGCCGAUGUCGGAUUAGCUAGUUGGCGGGGUAAAGGCCCACCAAGGCGACGAUCUGUAGCUGGUCUGAGAGGAUGAUCAGCCACACUGGAACUGAGACACGGUCCAGACUCCUACGGGAGGCAGCAGUGGGGAAUAUUGGACAAUGGGCGCAAGCCUGAUCCAGCCAUACCGCGUGGGUGAAGAAGGCCUUCGGGUUGUAAAGCCCUUUUGUUGGGAAAGAAAUCCAGCUGGUUAAUACCCGGUUGGGAUGACGGUACCCAAAGAAUAAGCACCGGCUAACUUCGUGCCAGCCGCCGCAGUAA